UACGUAGGGUCCAAGCGUUAUCCGGAAUCACUGGGCGUAAAGCGUGCGUAGGUGGUCUGUUAAGUGAGAUGUGAAAGCGUGUGGCUCAACCAUAUCGUUGUGUUUCAUACUGGCAGACUAGAGGACGGCAGAGGCAAGUGGAAUUGGCAGUGUAGCAGUGAAAUGCGUAGAGAUUGCCAGGAACACCAAUGGCGAAGGCAGCUUGCUGGGCCACUCCUGACACUGAGGUACGAAAGCGUGGGGAGCGAAACAGGAUUAGGAAACCCCCAGUCAAGUCCA
rnacentral:rRNA from 1 species